CUGCGAAUGGCUCAUUAAAUCAGUUAUCGUUUAUUUGAUAGUACCUUACUACUUGGAUAACCGUGGUAAUUCUAGAGCUAAUACAUGCUAAAAACCCCAACUUCGGGAGGGGUGUAUUUAUUAGAUAAAAAACCAAUGCCCUUCGGGGCUCCUUGGUGAUUCAUGAUAACUUCUCAGAUCGCAUGGCUUUACGCCGGCGACGGUUCAUUCAAAUUUCUGCCCUAUCAACUUUCGAUGGUAAGGUAGUGGCUUACCAUGGUUUCAACGGGUAACGGGGAAUUAGGGUUCGAUUCCGGAGAGGGAGCCUGAGAAACGGCUACCACAUCCAAGGAAGGCAGCAGGCGCGCAAAUUACCCAAUUCCGAUACGGAGAGGUAGUGACAAUAAAUACUGAUACAGGGCUCUUUUGGGUCUUGUAAUUGGAAUGAGUACAAUUUAAACCUCUUAACGAGGAACAAUUGGAGGGCAAGUCUGGUGCCAGCAGCCGCGGUAAUUCCAGCUCCAAUAGCGUAUAUUAAAGUUGUUGCAGUUAAAAAGCUCGUAGUUGAACCUUUGGCCUGGCUGGCAGGUCCGCCUCACCGCGUGCACUUGUCCGGCCGGGCCUUUUCUUCUGGAGAACCGCAUGCCCUUCACUGGGUGUGUUGGGGACCAGGACUUUUACUUUGAAAAAAUUAGAGUGUUCAAAGCAGGCCUUUGCUCGAAUACGUUAGCAUGGAAUAAUAGAAUAGGACGUGCGGUCCUAUUUUGUUGGUUUCUAGGACCGCCGUAAUGAUUAAUAGGGACAGUCGGGGGCAUCAGUAUUCAAUUGUCAGAGGUGAAAUUCUUGGAUUUAUUGAAAGACUAACUACUGCGAAAGCAUUUGCCAAGGAUGUU
rnacentral:rRNA from 1 species